rnacentral:rRNA from 1 species
UACGGAGGGUGCGAGCGUUGUCCGGAAUCAUUGGGCGUAAAGGGCGCGUAGGUGGCCUUCUAAGCGUGCGGUGAAAGCCUGGGCUCAACCCCGGGUCGGCCGUGCGAACUGGGGGCUUGAGCACUGUAGAGGCAGGCGGAAUUCCGGGUGUAGCGGUGGAAUGCGUAGAGAUCCGGAAGAACACCGGUGGCGAAGGCGGCCUGCUGGGCAGUUUGCUGACACUGAGGCGCGACAGCGUGGGAGCAACAGG